GUCUCGGAUAGCUUAACUGGUCGAGCCCUUGGCACGUAACCGAGAGAUCUGGGUUCGAUUCCCAGUCUGGGCU
rnacentral:tRNA from 1 species